rnacentral:rRNA from 1 species
CUCCUUGUGGGGUGACAGCGUGCCUUUUGAAGAAUGAGCCUGCGAGUUAGUGCUCAGUGGCGAGGUUAACCCGUGUGGGGAAGCCGUAGCGAAAGCGAGUCCGAAUAGGGCGACAUAGUCGCUGGGUCUAGACCCGAAGCGGAGUGAUCUACCCAUGGCCAGGCUGAAGCGACGGUAAGACGUCGUGGAGGGCCGAACCCACUUAGGUUGAAAACUGAGGGGAUGAGCUGUGGGUAGGGGUGAAAGGCCAAUCAAACUCCGUGAUAGCUGGUUCUCCCCGAAAUGCAUUUAGGUGCAGCGUCACGUGUUUCUUACCGGAGGUAGAGCUACUGGAUAGCCGAUGGGCCCCACCAGGUUACUGACGUUAGCCAAACUCCGAAUGCCGGUAAGUGAGAGCGUGGCAGUGAGACUGCGGGGGAUAAGCUCCGUAGUCGAGAGGGAAACAGCCCAGACCACCAGCUAAGGUCCCUAAGCGUGUGCUAAGUGGGAAAGGAUGUGGAGUUGCAUUGACAACCAGGAGGUUGGCUUAGAAG